CCUCUUUUUGAAUCAAAAUUGAAUGAUGAUUUUAGUAAUCAAUCAUUACUGUUUAAAUUGCAAUUCAUGUUUGUAAAACUUCAAUAAUAAUCAUGACAUUCAUAUCUUUUCAAAUUUAGAUAUCCAACCAAUUUAUAAUAAUGCUUAAAGUAUUGCUUCAUUUAUAUAUUUUACACAUGUAUUUAUAAAAUCCUCUUUAUUAAAGUUAUCAGUGAAUAUAUUAUGAUAUAUUUUUGUUAGUAUAAUCAGUUGUUUCUAGGAGUGAUAUUCAUUCUAAGGGUAACCUGCAAAUUAUGUGAAUUGAAUUUCCAUCAGUGCAAAUUUCAGCAAAAUAUAUGUUGAAGCCUUAUUAUCAAAAACCUUUCCAACACCAAUAUGUGUAAACAAACAAAAGGAGAGCAUAUGUUAUCAGUAGACUGGCCCAGCUUGACCAAGGUAAUAUGAUACCAAUUCAAGCUGAUGAGUACAGGAAGUCCAUGCCAGUCAGACUCCAGACACCAUGGGGCCAACCCUGGGGUAUAAGGUUCAUUUCUAACUGACUGUAUUGUGACUUAUUUGAUGAUUUAUUUCAGUAAUAAAUACAUAAAAUGAAACAAUAUUGUAAAAGUAACUUCAAUGCAAUUUUAUAGUAUUUUAAAAAGCAUCUGUUGAACUCACAAAUCUUCAUUUUUAUUAAGUCUGUAUGAAUGAAAAACCUUUCCUGUGCCCCAACUUAAGAUUGACCAAUGUAAAACAAGGUCCCCACUUUGAAUUGAGUUUCCUGUGGCUGCAUGUGGACAUUUUGCAUCUCUGUGAAUCAGUAUAAAUUGUCCUAUCAAUCACUUCUGGAAAUAGAAUCAACUUCUGUCAUUCUGGACAUGGUAAGGAUAUGUGCAACCUAUCUACAUCUGCAUGUUGAAAGUUCUGUAAAUAAGUUACAUAAACAAACAGAAGAUGGACUCAGUGAAGUGAUCCAGAUGAAGAUUUCCAAGGGUCAACAAUAAAUGCACAAAUGCAAAAAGAUACAGUGAGCUCUGAAGUGGACGGAAAUGACAGGAAGAGUUAAAAGAUAUUGUAACUGUACUGAAAAAAGAACUGGUAUUAUCAACAUAUGAUGAAUAUUCUACCGAAUGCCAACAAAAACUAUAAGCCAUUAUUGCAGUGACAACAGAGAUUAACAAUGAUAAGAAAAACAUUCAUGAACUAGAAAUUAAAUAACCUUUGAGGUAUUGUUAUGUAAGUGUGCAUUAAUGAUUUAGUUUAAAAGAAUAUGGAAUAAAAUAUAGAUGUUUGUAUAUAAAGUUCGUAUCUAUAAGGUGUUUUAUUGUAACAGCAUGCCGUACUGCUCUGAAUGAUAGAAAUACAGACUUUUACAUUAA